rnacentral:rRNA from 1 species
UGGGGGAAUCUUCCGCAAUGGGCGAAAGCCUGACGGAGCAACGCCGCGUGAGUGAAGAAGGUCUUCGGAUCGUAAAGCUCUGUUGAGAGGGACGAGAGAUUACUUCAGGAAAUGGGAGUAAGAGGACGGUACCUUUCGAGGAAGCCACGGCUAACUACGUGCCAGCAGCCGCGGUAAUACGUAGGUGGCGAGCGUUGUCCGGAAUGAUUGGGCGUAAAGGGCGCGUAGGCGGCCUGGUAAGUCUGGAGUGAAAGUCCUGCUUUUAAGGUGGGAAUUGCUUUGGAUACUGCUGGGCUUGAGUGCAGGAGAGGAAAGCGGAAUUACCGGUGUAGCGGUGAAAUGCGUAGAGAUCGGUAGGAACACCAGUGGCGAAGGCGGCUUUCUGGACUGAAACUGACGCUGAGGCGCGAAAGCGUGGGGAGCAAACAGGAUUAGAUACCCUGGUAGU